UACGGGGGAAGCAAGCGUUGUUCGGAUUUACUGGGCGUAAAGGGCGCGUAGGCGGCCACCGCAAGUCGGUUGUGAAAUCUCUGGGCUUAACCCAGAAAGGUCAACCGAUACUGCGGGGCUAGAGUGCAGAAGGGGCAACUGGAAUUCUCGGUGUAGCGGUGAAAUGCGUAGAUAUCGAGAGGAACACCUGCGGCGAAGGCGGGUUGCUGGGCUGACACUGACGCUGAAGCGCGAAAGCUAGGGGAGCGAACGGG
rnacentral:rRNA from 1 species